GGCUGGCACAGCGUUUGGCAGAAAAACAGGAAGAAUAUCAAUGGCUGAUCUAUGUAGUUAAGUGUAAUGGAUAUGGCGUUUAUGGCAGAAUAAAGCAGUGGACUGAGAGGGUGGACCAGACGCAGAAUCCUGUGUCCUUAUUCUUCAUAUAUAUUUACGCUGACUGGUCAUCUCCAUGUGCUGUUCAGCUGGUACUGUGGAAAUUCCACCAGUACAAAGGGGCGUCCGUCACAACAGCUCGGAUCCAGUGGAGUACUGCCAGUUUGGAAGAGGAUAACAAUGCACUGUCACCUUUCAUGGUUUCACUGUAUAUUUGGUCAGGAGGGCUC